rnacentral:lncRNA from 1 species
AUGCUGUGGAUAAAUAGAGCUUCCCUUAAAAAUUCUUUUUUCAGUCAAAAAUCUAAAAUGCAUUUUCUCAAAACUUUUUUAUUUCUUGUAUUAUUUUUAUACCUAGGUGGGAUUUUUCUUGCCUUUGGAAAAAAUAAAUCUCUUACCAGAGAUAUGAAAAAUUCAGCUGAAUUUAUUUAUGGCCCUGGUAAAGGUCUUUUCAUGCUCUACAAUGACAAUAUUUUUACAAAACCUACAGGUUCUCUAAACAUGAGUAUGCCUUUGGGGGAAGACAGAAGAACAUGGAAGCCAUGUGAAAAAAAUGGAUCCUAAG